rnacentral:rRNA from 1 species
UACGGGGGGGGCAAGCGUUGUUCGGAAUUACUGGGCGUAAAGAGCGCGUAGGCGGUCCGGUAAGUCAGCUGUGAAAGUCAAGGGCUCAACCCUUGAAAGCCGGCUGAUACUGCCGGACUAGAGUCCGGAAGAGGCGAGUGGAAUUCCCGGUGUAGCGGUGAAAUGCGCAGAUAUCAGGAAGAACACCUAUGGCGAAGGCGGCUCUCUGGGACGGUACUGACGCUGAGACGCGAA